rnacentral:rRNA from 1 species
UCGAGGGCCCGAUACCCAGACCCUCCGCCCGGGGACUACGAGCGCUAGCUUAAAACCCAAAGGACUUGGCGGUGCUUUACCCCCCACUAGAGGAGCCUGUUCUAGAACUGAUAACCCCCGUUGAACCUCACCAUCCCUCGUUUAACCCGCCUAUAUACCGCCGUCGUCAGCUUACCCUGUGAAGGCCAAAUAGUAAGCAAAAAUGGCUAAGCCAAAAACGUCAGGUCGAGGUGUAGUGAAUGGGAUGGGAAGAAAUGGGCUACAUUCUCUGUCACAGAGAAUACGAAUGGCAGCCUGAAAACCCUGCCUGAAGGUGGAUUUAGCA